CCUACGGGGGGCAGCAGUGGGGGAUAUUGGACAAUGGGGGGAACCCUGAUCCAGCGACGCCGCGUGAGUGAAGAAGUAUUUCGGUAUGUAAAGCUCUGUCAGCAGGGAAGAAAGAAAUGACGGUACCUGACCAAGAAGCCCCGGCUAACUACGUGCCAGCAGCCGCGGUAAUACGUAGGGGGCAAGCGUUAUCCGGAAUUACUGGGUGUAAAGGGAGCGUAGACGGUUAAGUAAGUCUGGAGUGAAGGGCCGGGGCCCAACCCCGGGACUGCUCUGGAAACUAUUGAACUUGAGUGCAGGGGAGGUAAGCGGAAUUCCUAGUGUAGCGGUGAAAUGCUUAGAUAUUAGGAGGAACACCAGUGGCGAAGGCGGCUUACUGGACUGUAACUGACGUUGAGGCUCGAAAGCGUGGGGAGCAAACAGGAUUAGAUACCCUUGUAGUC
rnacentral:rRNA from 1 species